GCUUAACACAUGCAAGUCGAGGGGUAUUAGUUUUCGGACUAAGAGACCGGCGCACGGGUGCGUAACGCGUAUGCAAUCUACCUUUUACAGAGGGAUAGCCCAGAGAAAUUUGGAUUAAUACCUCAUAGUAUAGCAGUUUCGCAUGAAACCACUAUUAAAGUCACAACGGUAAAAGAUGAGCAUGCGUCCCAUUAGCUAGUUGGUAAGGUAACGGCUUACCAAGGCUACGAUGGGUAGGGGUCCUGAGAGGGAGAUCCCCCACACUGGUACUGAGACACGGACCAGACUCCUACGGGAGGCAGCAGUGAGGAAUAUUGGACAAUGGGCGCAAGCCUGAUCCAGCCAUGCCGCGUGCAGGAUGACGGUCCUAUGGAUUGUAAACUGCUUUUGUACGAGAAGAAACACUCCUAUGUAUAGGAGCUUGACGGUAUCGUAAGAAUAAGGAUCGGCUAACUCCGUGCCAGCAGCCGCGGUAAUACGGAGGAUCCAAGCGUUAUCCGGAAUCAUUGGGUUUAAAGGGUCCGUAGGCGGUUUAGUAAGUCAGUGGUGAAAGCCCAUCGCUCAACGGUGGAACGGCCAUUGAUACUGCUGAACUUGAAUUAUUAGGAAGUAACUAGAAUAUGUAGUGUAGCGGUGAAAUGCUUAGAGAUUACAUGGAAUACCAAUUGCGAAGGCAGGUUACU
rnacentral:rRNA from 1 species